GUGCCAGCAGCCGCGGUAAUACAGAGGUCCCAAGCGUUGUUCGGAUUCACUGGGCGUAAAGGGUGCGUAGGUGGCUAGGUAAGUUUGAUGUGAAAGCUCUGGGCUCAACCCAGAAAUGGCAUUGAAUACUAUCUAGCUAGAGGAGUGGAGGGGGGACUGGAAUACUUGGUGUAGCAGUGAAAUGCGUAGAUAUCAAGUGGAACACCAGUGGCGAAGGCGAGUCCCUGGACACUUCCUGACACUGAGGCACGAAAGCUAGGGGAGCAAACAGGAUUAGAUACCCCCGUAGUCC
rnacentral:rRNA from 1 species